rnacentral:rRNA from 1 species
CCCUUAGAUGUCCUGGGCUGCACGCGUGCUACAAUGAUACGUGCAACGAGUUAAUCCUGCUCUGAAAGGAGUGGGUAAUCUUAUGAAUGCGUAUCGUGCUUGGGAUUGACCAUUGUAAUUAUUGGUCAUGAACGAGGAAUUCCUAGUAAGCACAAGUCAUCAGCUUGUGCUGAUUACGUCCCUGCCCUUUGUACACACCGCCCGUCGCACCUACCGAUUGGAUGGUCCGGUGAAGCCUCGGGAUUGUGGUUCUUGCCGCUUUAUUGUGGCGUGACCGCGAGAACUUGUCUAAACCUUAUCAUCUAGAGGAAGGUGAAGUCGUAACA